AGUCUCGCGAUUUUUAUAAACAAACACGGAUAACCGAUCGAACGCUGUAUCUCCCCUCUGCCACAACGCAUCGGAAUCGUUUUGUUAGCAUCCUUUCCACAGUGACACAGUUGCACCCAGUGACGCGAGCGAUAAGAAGGCGUGCGCCCUCAGAUACACAGAGGUUCUCUUAUUGGUUUCACAACAUUGAUGUCGAAUCGUUGAUAUUGGUGGUGGUAGAC